rnacentral:misc_RNA from 1 species
CGAUAUGGUGAUCAAAUGUACCAAGAGUUUUACUAAUCUCCAACAAUUCCUUCUUAGCCUCAUCAGAUUUGCGUUUCAAUGCAGUAGAUUCAUGAACUAGAUUCGCAAGCUGAGUAAGUGAUCCCAUGACUGCAGUGACUGAGAAGUAGCUAUUUGAAACAGUAUGUGGUUGUGACUAUCCAAAAAUAGGAAGGGGAAGAGGGGUUUAUAUAGGCAGGUUGGAGAGUUGAAAUGAUAGGGAGGGCUAUUGGAUUUGCUUUGUGGGCUCGGUGGUUCAUCAUCGCUUUCGCUGGGUUUGGGAGGAAGAAGAGUACGG